rnacentral:tRNA from 1 species
AUUUACCACUGAGCUACAUCUCUAGCUUUUUUUUUGGGUGGGGGGAUACUCAGAAUUGAACCUUUUUUGUUUUUGUUAUUUUGACAUGGGAUCUCACUAAGUUGCUGAGGCUGGUCUUGAACUUGUGAUCCUCCUGCCUCAGAUGCUUGACCCCUGUGCUUUUGUACUGGGCCAAAUGGGUUAAGCGGGGCCUAGCGUGAUUAGACUCCUCUUCUCUGCAUAACUGCAUGGAAACUGGAAGUCAAAGGUGCAGCACCGUCAUGGUCACUUUUCAUGAAUGGCUGUUCUAUUUAAGUGCAGCCAGAAGAGGUGUGAAUGCGUCCUUAGAGGGUUACAACUGGCCCUUGCUCUCACCUGCAGUGUGAGAGGCACAAGUCUUCCAGACCCUUCCCCACACUCCGGUUUCCUCUCUCCUCUCCCUCUGCCCUGCUGACCAACACAAGCCCCAGACCCACCACCCGCUGCAGAGCAGCAGCCUUCCAAACACCCCCCAGGUGUCCCUGGCAGACUCGCUCCCUAGAUCUCCCUCCAAGGUCUGACUUGUGGACCCACACGCUGCUUCAGGGGGGCUCGCUAGGGCUUUCCCACUGAUCCGUUAACUCUCCUUUCUAGAGGGCUUUCCCUAGCAUCACCUGCAGUUGAGUAAGUUCUGGUUCUGGUAGUAGAUCCCUUAUUCCAUGAAACACAGUGGUUGGUUUUGUUGUUUUGUUUUUGUUUUGCUUCAAAAUGUUUCUGCCUUUGCAGGGUGUCAUGGCAUACACCUGUCAUCCCAGUGACUUGGGAGGCUGAAAUAGGAUGACUGAAAGUUCAAGUCCAGGCUAGGCAACUAAACAAGACCUUGUCUCAAAAGCAAAUAAGGGCUGGGGAUGUAGAUCACUGGCAAAGCCCCCCAAAGUUCAAUUCUGAGUACCUCCCCCCAAAAAGUUUCUGCUUAAAUAAACUUAAUAUUGGGUUGUGGUGUAGCUCCGUGGUAUGGCACUUGCCUAGCAUGCAAGAGGCCCUGGGUUUGAUCCCCAGCAUCAUAAAACAAAACAAAACAAAACCAAGAAAAAAAUGUCAAUGUUGUGCAGCACAAAGAAAAGAU